AAAAGACUCUGGGAAAUACUCUUGUUCUUUGAGAAACUUUAAAACAACUGUAUCUGAAGAAAUUAGCAUUCACAUCGAAGAUGUUGCCGGGUCGCCAACCGUUCUGAUUAUUGUGGUGUUUUUAGUCUCACUUGUUUUCAUCACUGCAGCUGUGAUUCUUAUAAGAAGGAAAGCAAAAACUCAAGUAAAACCAAUGGAGAAGAGAGAAGAAGCCGAGGGUUCUCUUUACUGCACUCUUCAAACAACCGUAAGUAUGAAACCUAAAUAUAAAAACUUACAAACAUAAAACAUUUAUCCUUAAGGAGUAAACAUUACAUUUA
rnacentral:lncRNA from 12 species